UACGUAGGUGGCAAGCGUUGUCCGGAUUUACUGGGCGUAAAGAGCUCGUAGGUGGUUUGUCGCGUUGUCCGUGAAAACUCACAGCUCAACUGUGGGCGUGCGGGCGAUACGGGCAGACUGGAGUACUGCAGGGGGAGACUGGAAGUUCCUGGUGUAGCGGUGGAAUGCGCAGAUAUCAGGAGGAACACCGGUGGCGAAGGCGGGUCUCGUGGGCAGUGAACUGACGCUGGAGGAGCGAAAAGCGUGGGGAGCGAACAGG
rnacentral:rRNA from 1 species